rnacentral:lncRNA from 1 species
AGUACACGGAUCUGGAAUGGAAGCAAAUAAUAACCGGGUCUCCAGAUUCCAUCGUAUCACAGAACAUAGAACCAAGAAAGUACCUUAGAAGUCAUCUGAUCCAGUCACCCCUGUUUUACCAAUGAGGAAUCUAGACCCAGAAGAAGUUAAAGGACUUACCCAAGAGUACCCAACAACUCUCUCACCACCCCAGGCUCCCAUCUUUGUGUCUCUCCUGUGUGAGCUGUUCCCUGAAGUUCUUCCUGAACUUGCACAUUGCCUUUCCCUUUGAUUUUAAAUCCUUGGCUCAAAUGACAUGCCCGGACUAUAUCGUGUGAUAUGAGCUUGAAAAGUAAUUUACGUACAAGUCUUGAAAGCAAAUCAAGUUUUAAAACAAAGUAGCAUCUACUCUGCCCCAGCCUUGACAUCUUAUUACAUAGCAAAUGCUGGCUUUUUAAUUUCCCUAAUCAAGACUGGUCCUAUUUAGCCCACCUCCUCAAGGGGUCCCAGCACUAGCCCCACUCCGACGCCUGAUGAAGUUCCAGAACAGGUGAGAAAAAUGAGAGGGCCCUGCCCAGGGCUCUGGGAGUCGGCCCUCACUGCCUGCCCUUCAGACAGCAAGACAGAAAAGGCAUUCAUUUUCUUCCUCCACGUCAUGAUACCAACCGAAAUUACCUUUAAAUGAGGAAGAAGGUCAUUAUUUAAUCAAUAGGAUUGCGUCAAUUGAGGAAAAUUUGUCUCCAGUGUAAACAAGCGGAACGUCUUUGCGCUCUAUAAAAACAAGUGGAAUCAAGCACAGAGAUGGGCACGCCUCUUUACAGAACCAAAGAUUCAGAACUGUGCCUUACCCUUUGCUUAUGAGGCGGAGGAGGAGGAAGAGAAAGAACCACCGCAAAGAGAGAUGGCAACAAAGGUAAAAUGAAGGCCGGGCAGCCGAUCCCACUCAGGCUGACCACAGUGAGGGAGCAGCAUUAAAAUGAGAAAGGAUCAGGUCUCGAAGCCCAGCCCUUCCCGCUGAAUCUCGUCCUUUGCUUCAUCCAUUCCAUUAAAUAAGUCAUAUUGAAAAUAAAUUAUUAUUAAUACAACAGU